AUUGAACGCUGGCGGCAUGCUUUACACAUGCAAGUCGAACGGCAGCGCGGGCUUCGGCCUGGCGGCGAGUGGAGCACGGGAGAGUAAUGCAUCUGAACGUGCCCAGUAGUGGGGGAUAGCUCGGCGAAAGCCGGAUUAAUACCGCAUACGACCUGUGGGGGAAAGCGGGGGAUGUUCGGACCUCGCGCUAUUGGAUGGGCCGGUGGCAGAUUAGCUAGUUGGUGGGGUAACGGCCUACCAAGGCGACGAUCUGUAGCUGGUCUGAGAGGGCGACCAGCCACACUGAGACUGAGACACGGCACAGACUCCGACGGGAGGCAGCGGUGGGGACUGGUGGACAAUGGGCGGAAGCCUGAUCCAGGAAUGCCGCGUGGGUGCUGCAGGGCUGCGGGUUGGAUAGCACUUUUGGCGUUGUAGAAAGGUACUGUGAGAAGACCACGGUUUGAUGACGGUACCCGCAGAAUAAGCACCGGCUAACUACGUG
rnacentral:rRNA from 1 species